rnacentral:rRNA from 1 species
GGUUAAGCGACUAAGCGUACACGGUGGAUGCCCUGGCAGUCAGAGGCGAUGAAGGACGUGCUAAUCUGCGAUAAGCGUCGGUAAGGUGAUAUGAACCGUUAUAACCGGCGAUUUCCGAAUGGGGAAACCCAGUGUGAUUCGUCACACUAUCAUUAACUGAAUCCAUAGGUUAAUGAGGCGAACCGGGGGAACUGAAACAUCUAAGUACCCCGAGGAAAAGAAAUCAACCGAGAUUCCCCCAGUAGCGGCGAGCGAACGGGGAGCAGCCCAGAGCCUGAAUCAGUGUGUGUGUUAGUGGAAGCGUCUGGAAAGGCGCGCGAUACAGGGUGACAGCCCCGUACACAAAAAUGCACAUACUGUGAGCUCGAUGAGUAGGGCGGGACACGUGGUAUCCUGUCUGAAUAUGGGGGGACCAUCCUCCAAGGCUAAAUACUCCUGACUGACCGAUAGUGAACCAGUACCGUGAGGGAAAGGCGAAAGAACCCCGGCGAGGGGAGUGAAAAAGAACCUGAAACCGUGUACGUACAAGCAGUGGGAGCACAGAGCAAUCUGUGUGACUGCGUACCUUUUGUAUAAUGGGUCAGCGACUUAUAUUCUGUAGCAAGGUUAACCGAAUAGGGGAGCCGAAGGGAAACCGAGUCUUAACUGGGCGUUAAGUUGCAGGGUAUAGACCCGAAACCCGGUGAUCUAGCCAUGGGCAGGUUGAAGGUUGGGUAACACUAACUGGAGGACCGAACCGACUAAUGUUGAAAAAUUAGCGGAUGACUUGUGGCUGGGGGUGAAAGGCCAAUCAAACCGGGAGAUAGCUGGUUCUCCCCGAAAGCUAUUUAGGUAGCGCCUCGUGAAUUCAUCUCCGGGGGUAGAGCACUGUUUCGGCAAGGGGGUCAUCCCGACUUACCAACCCGAUGCAAACUGCGAAUACCGGAGAAUGUUAUCACGGGAGACACACGGCGGGUGCUAACGUCCGUCGUGAAGAGGGAAACAACCCAGACCGCCAGCUAAGGUCCCAAAGUCAUGGUUAAGUGGGAAACGAUGUGGGAAGGCCCAGACAGCCAGGAUGUUGGCUUAGAAGCAGCCAUCAUUUAAAGAAAGCGUAAUAGCUCACUGGUCGAGUCGGCCUGCGCGGAAGAUGUAACGGGGCUAAACCAUGCACCGAAGCUGCGGCAGCGACGCUUAUGCGUUGUUGGGUAGGGGAGCGUUCUGUAAGCCUGUGAAGGUGUACUGUGAGGUAUGCUGGAGGUAUCAGAAGUGCGAAUGCUGACAUAAGUAACGAUAAAGCGGGUGAAAAGCCCGCUCGCCGGAAGACCAAGGGUUCCUGUCCAACGUUAAUCGGGGCAGGGUGAGUCGACCCCUAAGGCGAGGCCGAAAGGCGUAGUCGAUGGGAAACAGGUUAAUAUUCCUGUACUUGGUGUUACUGCGAAGGGGGGACGGAGAAGGCUAUGUUGGCCGGGCGACGGUUGUCCCGGUUUAAGCGUGUAGGCUGGUUUUUCCGAGCAAAUCCGGAAAAUCAAGGCUGAGGCGUGAUGACGAGGCACUACGGUGCUGAAGCAACAAAUGCCCUGCUUCCAGGAAAAGCCUCUAAGCAUCAGGUAACAUCAAAUCGUACCCCAAACCGACACAGGUGGUCAGGUAGAGAAUACCAAGGCGCUUGAGAGAACUCGGGUGAAGGAACUAGGCAAAAUGGUGCCGUAACUUCGGGAGAAGGCACGCUGAUAUGUAGGUGAAGCGACUUGCUCGUGGAGCUGAAAUCAGUCGAAGAUACCAGCUGGCUGCAACUGUUUAUUAAAAACACAGCACUGUGCAAACACGAAAGUGGACGUAUACGGUGUGACGCCCUGCCCGGUGCCGGAAGGUUAAUUGAUGGGGUCAGCGCAAGCGAAGCUCUUGAUCGAAGCCCCGGUAAACGGCGGCCGUAACUAUAACGGUCCUAAGGUAGCGAAAUUCCUUGUCGGGUAAGUUCCGACCUGCACGAAUGGCGUAAUGAUGGCCAGGCUGUCUCCACCCGAGACUCAGUGAAAUUGAACUCGCUGUGAAGAUGCAGUGUACCCGCGGCAAGACGGAAAGACCCCGUGAACCUUUACUAUAGCUUGACACUGAACAUUGAGCCUUGAUGUGUAGGAUAGGUGGGAGGCUUUUGAAGUGUGGACGCCAGUCUGCAUGGAGCCGACCUUGAAAUACCACCCUUUAAUGUUUGAUGUUCUAACGUUGACCCGUAAUCCGGGUUGCGGACAGUGUCUGGUGGGUAGUUUGACUGGGGCGGUCUCCUCCUAAAGAGUAACGGAGGAGCACGAAGGUUGGCUAAUCCUGGUCGGACAUCAGGAGGUUAGUGCAAUGGCAUAAGCCAGCUUGACUGCGAGCGUGACGGCGCGAGCAGGUGCGAAAGCAGGUCAUAGUGAUCCGGUGGUUCUGAAUGGAAGGGCCAUCGCUCAACGGAUAAAAGGUACUCCGGGGAUAACAGGCUGAUACCGCCCAAGAGUUCAUAUCGACGGCGGUGUUUGGCACCUCGAUGUCGGCUCAUCACAUCCUGGGGCUGAAGUAGGUCCCAAGGGUAUGGCUGUUCGCCAUUUAAAGUGGUACGCGAGCUGGGUUUAGAACGUCGUGAGACAGUUCGGUCCCUAUCUGCCGUGGGCGCUGGAGAACUGAGGGGGGCUGCUCCUAGUACGAGAGGACCGGAGUGGACGCAUCACUGGUGUUCGGGUUGUCAUGCCAAUGGCACUGCCCGGUAGCUAAAUGCGGAAGAGAUAAGUGCUGAAAGCAUCUAAGCACGAAACUUGCCCCGAGAUGAGUUCUCCCUGACUCCUUGAGAGUCCUGAAGGAACGUUGAAGACGACGACGUUGAUAGGCCGGGUGUGUAAGCGCAGCGAUGCGUUGAGCUAACCGGUACUAAUGAACCGUGAGGCUUAACCUU